CUUCCUCCUCGCAUCCCUCUCUCUCUCUCUCUCUCUCUCUCGCUCUCUCCUCUCUCCUCUCUCGCUCUCUCUCUCUCUCUCUAAAUGUUGUGGUGCAUCCUCUAGUAGCUGAAGCUGCCAGCAUGAUCUGAUGAGGUGAGGUUUAUUUGCUAGUUGGUCACAGGCUAACAGCAUGAUGGCCCAACAAAUCAACGAUCAGAUCAUGCUGUGCAGUUUCAUCUGCUCGUGGAUGCACAUCAGAUACUGGGCCAGCGUUAAUUAGGUUCAAGGGUAAUUCAAUUCGUAAAUUUCUCAGUACAGAUUGAUUCCUUAUUGCUUUUCUAUAAUUUCAACUUGGAGUUCAGUUCCAAUGAUGUGGCAGAAAGCUUCAAUUGGGGAGGACCGAAUCGACAAUUCAAGAACUGAAGGUGAAUUGAACAGGUUUUGUGAGCAGUGGUUCAUUUGUGUAUUGGCUUGUUCUGAAGAAGCUAUAUGUACAUGCUAUCAUCAUUUGGAAUAGUAUGGAUAUGGAGAUCGUCACGUACUGAUCAUGCAAGCAGGAAGGAUAUUCAAUUGACAACUGAAGAACUGAUCAUUAGCCAAUGAAUUGAAGGAGUAUUUCUUUUGAACAAACACCAUGAAGAAAUUAAAUAUAUACACCAACUAUAUAUAUUUGCAUGCACACUUUUGUGAUGUCAAGCAAUUUCUAGCUUUGCACUAUAUAUAUACCUGUACUACACGCCGCCUGCAUAUAUAUGUGAUUGUGUGUGUAUGAAUGUAACUACCUGAAAAUAUUUGCACCUUUUUCCUUUCACUAUCAGCUAGUACACCACCACUAAUUUAAUUAAUGCCACACACACAUAAAACUUGGCCAUUUUGAAUUAAAUAGAGGACCUAAUAAUUAAACACAAUUGAGAUCGAUUGAUUAGUCGGUUGAUUGGCGUGUACAACAUUAGAUUCUCUGUCCCUUUCUACUAUAGCCGAAAGUUGGGUGUGCUCUUAAUAUCCCCAUAAUGCAUGCCAGUCCUCCUCCUCUCAUCAGUGGCAUGUGAAGGAGAUCCGUGACAGAUUGGUAGUGCAGAUAAACAAAGAUAUAAAUGUAUGGAGAGGAGAUCCAAACACUGAUUGAUAAAAAGAUUGCUGCACAAAAUUAAUUAUUGUGGCAACGGUAGCUCACGUACUGCAUACGGCUACAAUAACUCUAGACUUGCCAUUAUUUGUGUAGCGUCUUAAUCGAUCGUCCAAGUCAAGUAAAUUGAUUGCUCAUGCACGUUUUUUUAUUAAUAUUUUUUUAUCAAAUUCAAAGAGAAAAAGAAUACUGUAUUGAGAGAAAAGGCCAGCGAAUUAUAAGGGUUUGUUAUUUCUGAAUUUAAGAAUUAUUCCAGGUUGCAUUUGUUCCUUAAAUUCAGUAGUGUUCUUUAAAAACAUUUUUCAGAUUUGUACCAGAGUUUAAUUAUAUGUUCCUUAUGAACCUUCACGUUUUAAUGGUAAUUUAGCAUUAGUUACCAAGAGUCCUAGGUAUAAUAUACCAUCAUCAGUGUGCAGUGGCACUCUCGUAUGCAGCAUGAUGAAGACAUGUUUGUUUGAAGCACUACCUUUCUUCCACUUAUUUUUUCAAAACGAUUACAAGCAUAUUCUAAGAUGCAAACUUUACAGGUAUUUCUGUACGACAUGUGGGCCGGCCUCUUGAGUUUGACGUUGCUUUCAUGCAUCGUGACACGAGAGUCCAACACCUUACAAUAUAAUGUCAUGGGAACAUGCAAUGCAUGCCUGACUUUUCCCUAUAUUGGAAC